AGGAUGCCCAGUUAAGUUUGAAUGACAAAUAAACAAGGAGUAAUUUUUUAGCAUAGAUGAACCCCAGAUACUACAUGGGACAUACUUAUCCUAAAAAAGUAUUCAUUGUUUAUCUGAAAUUCAGCUGUAACUGGGCAUCCUGUA
rnacentral:miRNA from 1 species